GGUUCCAUAGUGUAGCGGUUAUCACAUCUGCUUUACAUGCAGAAGGUCCUGGGUUCGAGCCCCAGUGGAACCA